rnacentral:lncRNA from 11 species
UUCUUAUUUUAUAUUAGUGCCGCCCCAGAGGUCUUCCUUGCUCUCUCAUCUAUCAGAAAAUCAUGAGCAAGACAAGGCAUUCAUGAGCCAGACAUGGUUUAUCUCAGAAAAGGUCUUUUCAUCCCUGCCUCUCAUGACAACAGGACAUGUCCUUCCUGGACAGGAUCAAGUUAAACAUACCCUCAUAAGGUAUGGUCUCCAGACCUUUGAUCAUUGUAGGUGACUUCCUCUAGACAUGUUCGAAUUGUGGUGCUCAGAAUUGAACACAGUAUUGCAGGUGCACAGAAUGUACCACAGCAGAGUCAGAGAAUUUGAAUCGUAGAGUUGGAAGAGACCCAAUUAAAGUACUCCUGACAAAGGAUGCCUGCAAGAAGAAGACUCCGCCACAACCAAGGAAGUUUAUUCCACAGUUGAACAGCUCUUGCUAUCAAUAAGUUUUUCCAAUUGUUUGGGUCGAAUGUCUUUUUCUGCCAUUUGAAUCUGUUGCUCCAUUUUCUAGGGUACAUUUUUAC